GAGGAAAGUUUGGAGCUGCUGCCGUUCCCGGAGGAAUAUUGUCACUAGGCCGGGAAUAAACCGGGUCUAGCGUUUGGGCUCUGCUGUGGUCGGUCCAUAAGUUGGGCGCGUUUUAUCGCUGUGUUUUGUGCCCAAGGUGUUGGGGCUGUGGGUUGGAAGGGCUGGGAGCUGGCGGGGCCGCUCUGGCCGCUCUGAGGGUGGGUGAGGUGAGGUGACCGCCGUCACCCCGGCGCUCGGGGAGGUGGUGCGAGGCCGCAUUCCAAACGUGCCUUUGGAAAAUUGCCAACCGAGUGUCGUGGCUUGAGCCCUAUACAGAAUUUCUCAGGGACAAUCACACGCAAAUCACAGAACGAAUUAGGCUGGAAAGGCCUGUGAGAUCGCGUCCAGCCUUUGAACACCACCGUGACAAUCGCACCGUGGCACAAAGUGCUGCUUCUAUACUUCCUUAAACACCAAAGCAAUCCUGUGGAGUUUGGAAAACCUUGUUUUAUUUUUAGCUGGCUUCUCUAGUCCAAAAAAAACCUCAUUAAUCCUUUUGUGAGAAAGAAAAAUAUUUUCUUAUCAAUUAGCAUUCAAUGGGGCUUUUUGUUAUCAGCUAAUUAAAUGUGUUUCAGAUUCUCACAAAAUAAUAGAAACAAAUAAAAUGUGCUUCAUUCCUGCUAAACAAACGUGCAAGUACUUGCACUUGUACUAAAUAUUAAACAUUGGUGCAAGUGUAAGGCAGGAAGCCAGAUCAUGGAUUUGCAGAAGUCUUGGAGGUGACCAAACCCACGGCAGAGCUGGCAUCUCCCCAUGUGUUCCGUGGCGAAGGGUGACGUCUUUGUUCAGCCCACACCCUGUCCUGGCUUUAAACCGAGGUACUGACUGGAAUCUGAAGCAGCUGACAAAUGAACACAUCCUGAGGUGGCAGUGGUGGCUUCUGUCAGCUGAGUACAGCAGGUGGCCAGCAUCAGCAGUGUCUUAGCGUGAGGUUCAUGUGUUUGCUAAAAUUUAGAUGGUGAUUUUUAGAGGCAAAUAAAAUUUCUCUUGUUUAAAUACUGGUUUGUAAUGCCCUCCCUAGGAUGUACUGUGCACUGUUUCUGGUCUCUCCUUUCCUUACAUGGUUCUGUUCUUCACCCUGUCUCCUUUCCCCAAACUGUCCUUUUUCAUACUUUAUUCUUCUUCCACACUUUCCUGUCAUUGGCACUUGGUCAUAGUACUACAUGUUUUUUGUUCCCUUGGCAAGUUCCUACUCUUUCUUGUGAGUUAAGUUGUUCUGUUUCUACCCUUGGCACUCCUGGACAAUGGCAAGAUAGAGCUCAGAGCAUGGUAAAACAUUUCUCUUUUACCCAAUUUAAGGAAUAAAAUUUGCAAGUUUUCUUCA